CAAUCUGUUCCUCUGCAUCAGAAUUGAGAAAAGGAAACUUAAAGACAAAAUGGACCAAAAAGGUACCUUGGAAAAACCAGCUUUGGCCAUGGAGUGCUAGUAAGAUCAUUUGGACCAAGGCAAGUGGGCCAGAAGAGAUUAGCAGCAACUUUUAUAAACAAAGAGGAAUAAAAGCAUUCCCAUUCUAGCAAUAGAAAUGGAGCCCAGAGGAAGAGGAAGAGACACCAGAGUUCUCUUUCUUUCCUCAUGCACACAUAGAAGAGAGACUGUGAGGACGCAGCAAGAGGAGAGCCAUCUACAAGUCGGGAAGAGAAGUCUCACCAGAAACCAACCCUGAGGGCGUCUUGAUCAUGGACUUCAGCUCCAGAGCUGAGAGAGGGUAAAUCCCUAUUGUUGAAGCCAACCAGUAUGUGAUAGCUCGUGACAGCUCUUGUUGACUAAGACGAAGAA